UAAUACGGAGGGUGCAAGCGUUAAUCGGAAUUACUGGGCGUAAAGCGCACGCAGGCGGCUUUUUAAGUCGGAUGUGAAAGCCCCGGGCUCAACCUGGGAAUUGCAUCUGAUACUGGGAAGCUAGAGUAUGUGAGAGGGGGGUAGAAUUCCAAGUGUAGCGGUGAAAUGCGUAGAGAUUUGGAGGAAUACCAGUGGCGAAGGCGGCCCCCUGGCACAAUACUGACGCUCAGGUGCGAAAGCGUGGGGAGCAAACAGG
rnacentral:rRNA from 2 species